rnacentral:rRNA from 1 species
AUGGUGGUCGGACCGAUUGCGCUGCUCAACCACGACUUCUUGGCGAUUGCGGAAGCAAGCGCAUAUGUUCCUCUGCAUCGCCGGGCUGCCGUUCAAACAGCGAUUGAAGGUUUGCUACAUGAAGCGCAUCUUUUUACCACUGAAUGUAGUGAUCAUCCUCUGGGUAUUGGAAUCUUUGGUUUUGCAAGUUCUUUCUUGAGAGAUACGGCUGUCAAUACCCCGCUAGAGCUUGAGGAGGAGGAUUUUCUUAUCACCUUUGUGCCGCAUAAUGAAGCUCUUAACAGACGCACCACCUCAUUUGGCCCAGAGAUUUGGUUGAUGUUUUUUGGAUUUCCUUACGAUUACCAAACAGACUACUACGUCGGUAUUAUGUUACAUAGCGCUUUCUUGCAUGUAUUGCCGCUAGCAAGUUCAAAGAAUAGAAAACUUAAAGUUCAGGUAUGA